ensembl:lncRNA
UUUUUAUUUUUUUUUUCGAGACAGAGUCUCACUCUGUUGCCCAGGCUGAAGGGCAGUGGUACAAUCUCAGUUCACUGCAACCUCAGCCUCUCAGGUUCAAGUGAUCCUCCAACCUCACCCUCCUGAGUAGCUAGCACUACAGGUACAUGCCACCACACCUGGCUAAUUUUUGGAUUUUUAGUAGAGACAGGGUUUUGCCACGUUGCCCAGGCUGGUCUUGAACUCCUGGCCUCAAGUGAUCUGCCUACCUUGACCUCUCAAAGUGCUGGGAUUACAGCUGUGAGCCACCACCACGAUUGGCCUGAUGGAAAUCUUUUAAAAACAAUUAGGUUCCCAGAUUCCCUUCCUUGCUGCGUGCAGCCAGACCUUUGAAGAGGGUAAAACAAAGAGUCUCUGGAAAGCAGAAUAACAGACAAAGCUGAGCCCAGGUUACUCUGUCUGAUCCAUGGAUCUCCCUUAAACAUUCGUGACAAAGGGUAAGCCAGUCUUAUGCUUGAACCCAUGCGGUGACAAAGAACUCCCUCUUGCCCAGUAAUAAUAGCAACUAACCCUUACUGAGUGCUAGCUGUGUGCCUGGCCCUUUAAGCCCUUCCCAUAUACUGACUCUUCGAAAGUUGGCUCAUUCCAAAUUUGGACAGCUCGGUUUGUAAAAGGUUCAGACAGGCCUCUAAAGUUUCCCUCCUACCUUCAUGUGUCUCUUAACUGAGGAGGAAGGAGGAUUUUCAUGUUGGGAUGGCAGGUCCAUAGAGAUUAUAUAUGGCAAGAGAAAUGUUCAUUGUGUUACAUGUUUAUCAUCAAAAGCGCAGUCUAUACUGGGCUCUAAAGUAAUAGCAAUAGUCAUAGUUAUUGCAAAGCCUGUACUCACUCUACAUGCAUUUACCUCACUUGAUUCACAUAACAAUAGUAUUUUUCUACAAACUGAUUCUUUGAAAGAUUAAGUGUUCUAAGGUUACAGAGCUAGUAACCAGCCUUCUGGCCCAGUCUGUCUGACCCAGAGGCUGAGCUGUUAAUCACAAGAGUCAAUACAAGUUUUCAUCUACUAUGUUUCUGAGAAGUAUGUACUAGAAAAAUCUCUGACUUUGGUGAAGAUCUGAGCUCUGCUUCCUCCUCUGCUACUUUCCUGUGAGCUUGAGCAAAUUUUCUCUUUUCCUUAAGUAUAAAACAAGAGAGCUGGACUAGAUGAUCUCAAAAGCCCAAAUUUAAUUCUAAUCAUCUAUAUUCCAAGUUAAAGGUGUCUAUAAUCCUUCCCCAUCUGGUAACAUUUCUUGGAGCAUCCAAUUAACAUGUGGAGAUGAUGAUGAUGAUGAUGAUGAUGAUGAUGAAUGAAUGAAUGUACGAAUGAAUGAAGUGAAAUCUUUCACAUUUUCUUUUGCAAAAGGCUGCCCCUGGUCAGAUAUUCCUAGAGGAGGAAAGAGAGUUCUUGUCUCCCUUUUCGGUUUCAGUUGCUUUUCACCAGUUGGCCUCAAAUCUACGGUGUAAAUAAAGCCAGCUUCACCCCCAGGCCUUUCUCUCAAGGCCCAGCUGUAGGCUAGAAGCAGAAAGUGAAUAUGCAGAGUGGCCAAUUAGUUCACUGUGUGCCCUCAUGACCUCUG